rfam:Firmicutes bacterium CAG:94 genomic scaffold, scf578
ACGCGUAAAGAUAAAAACACAGUCCCGGCCGGUAGUCCGGGCACAGCCAUGCUGUCAGUAACCCGCCUUCCUCGGCUGUCCCUUCUUUGCCGUUUUUUG